CCUACGGGAGGCUGCAGUGAGGAAUAUUGGUCAAUGGACGGAAGUCUGACCCAGCCAUGCCGCGUGCAGGAAGACGGCUCUCUGGGUUGUAAACUUCUUUUGUACGAGAGUGAACCUGAAUGCGUGUCUUCAGCUGACAGUACUGUACGAAUAAGCAUCGGCUAACUCCGUGCCAGCAGCCGCGGUAAUACGGAGGAUCCAAGCGUUAUCCGGAUUUAUUGGGUUUAAAGGGUGCGUAGGCGGAUUGAUAAGUCAGAGGUGAAAUGCCCGAGCUUAACCCGGGAACUGCCUCUAAUACUGUUGAUCUAGAGAGUAGAUGAGGUAGGCGGAAUGCAUGGUGUAGCGGUGAAAUGCGUAGAGAUCAUACAGAACACCGAUUGCGAAGGCAGCUGACCAAUCGACAUCUGACGGUGAGGCACGAAAGCGUGGGGAGCAAACAGGAUUAGAUACCCCAGUAGUC
rnacentral:rRNA from 1 species